rnacentral:rRNA from 1 species
CUUGACGACCAUAGAGCAUUGGAACAACCUGAUCCCAUCCCGAACUCAGCAGUGAAACGAUGCAUCGCCGAUGGUAGUGUGGGGUUUCCCCAUGUGAGAGUAGGUCAUCGUCAAGA